rnacentral:rRNA from 2 species
CGAGACCUCAGGUCAGGCGGGGCUACCC